rnacentral:lncRNA from 1 species
GUGUCAUGCAAGAAGGAGGCGGCGGCGGCGGCGGCCGGAGCUGGAGUGGGAGGAGGGGAGGAACCUGAUCCUCGGUAGCGAAGGGCUGGAGGCAAACACCGAGCUCCCCCUGAGCCGCUCGGGAACAGGGAGGGUUCUGCUACCCUGAGGGGCCCUCCCCGCGGGGCAGAGGGGUUUCCUCAGCAGUGCCCCCGAGCAGGGACCGCGCCAGCCAGCAGAAACAGCUAGUUGUUGUCUACAGUGAAGAAUAAUUGGAAGCAUGGUGCCUGCUUCUUUUCCUAGGAGCCAAGAAUAGGACGGCUUGGGAAGCCCAUCCUCGCCUAUGGCCAAGGGUUUCUCGUUUCUAGAAGAUGAAAGAUGUGAUGACUUAGGAAAAACUAGAAUCUGAGUAACUGUGGUGGGCACUGGGCCAGAGGUAGGCAUACACCUUGCCAUCCACAAGAGAAAGUGUGCUGUUCGAGAUGUG